UACAGAGACUGCAAGCGUUAUUCGGAUUCACUGGGCGUAAAGGGUGCGCAGGCGGCCAAGUGUGUGAGGCGUGAAAGCCUGGAGCUUAACUCCAGAAUUGCACCUCAAACUACAUGGCUAGAGCAUUGGAGAGGGUAGCGGAAUUCACGGUGUAGCAGUGAAAUGCGUAGAUAUCGUGGAGAACACCCGUGGCGAAGGCGGGCUUCUGGUUGACUUCUGACGCUGAGGUGCGAAAGCUAGGGGAGCGAACGGG
rnacentral:rRNA from 1 species